GACAGAGGGUGCAAACGUUGUUCGGAAUUACUGGGCGUAAAGCGUGUGUAGGCGGCCAUGUAAGUCGGAUGUGAAAGCCCCGGGCUUAACCCGGGAAGUGCAUUCGAUACUGCGUGGCUUGAGUAUCGGAGAGGUUGGUGGAGUUCUCGGUGUAGAGGUGAAAUUCGUAGAUAUCGAGAGGAACACCGGUGGCGAAGGCGGCCAACUGGACGAAUACUGACGCUGAGACACGAAAGCGUGGGGAGCAAACAGG
rnacentral:rRNA from 1 species